rnacentral:pre_miRNA from 1 species
ACUCGCUCCUGUGCUUUAUGGCUUUUUAUUCCUAUGUGAUUGUGACAUGAUCUCAUGUAGGGAGAGAAGCCAUGAAAUACACAGUGAGAA